rnacentral:rRNA from 1 species
GUGUCAGCCGCCGCGGUAAUACGGAGGGUGCAAGCGUUGUCCGGAUUUAUUGGGUUUAAAGGGUGCGUAGGUGGCCCGUUAAGUCCGGGGUGAAAGCCCACAGCUCAACUGUGGAACUGCCCUGGAUACUGGCGGGCUUGAGAGUCGUCGAGGGUGGCGGAAUGGACGGUGUAGCGGUGAAAUGCAUAGAUACCGUCCAGAACCCCAAUUGCGUAGGCAGCUGCCUAGGCGACAUCUGACACUGAGGCACGAAAGCGUGGGGAGCGAACAGGAUUAGAUACCCUGGUAGUCCACGCCGUAAACGAUGGAUACUCGUUGCCAGCGAUAGACUGUUGGUGACUUAGCGAAAGCGGUAAGUAUCCCACCUGGGGAGUACGCUCGCAAGAGUGAA